GCAGGUGACUCCGUUGCGGGUCCGUCUACAAACCGGCAAAUCCGCGUUACUGUCACCUCCGUUGUACUGCUCCAAUACGGAUUCAGACCGGGCUGGGUUUCAUUUUGCGAGUUCCGUCUACAAACCGGCAAACCCGCGUUACUGUCAGCUCCGUUGUACUGCUCCAAUACAGAUCCAGACCGAGCUGGGUAUUAUUGGGCGGGAACAACAAUCGCAAAGCAGAUUCGGGCCGUAUCCGUGGAAACGAGCGCGCGUCUGGAUUUUUGAAGAGGAUCGAGGUGGCCACAGUUUGAUCUCUCUUACAUCCCCACACGACUUUCCAAGGACUGACAACCGUAUUCUGCUGCUGUGUGAACGUGGCCAAAGUGACGUGCCAUUGACUUGUAUUAGAUGAGGACCACCGUUUCAGCUAAACAUCUUUACUGUUCUACCGAAAAUACUCACAUCUUGAAUGGCAUGAGAGUUUUUCAACAGUAUAUUAAAAUUUGGGAGCUGUAAGGAGCAAACAGUCCUGUGGGCUACUGGUGCAGCGAAUUCUUGGAUUCUUACACCAACCGUUGGUUUCAUCUUGCCUUUGACCAUGGUGGUGGCUGGAAAGAGCGUGCGGAUACCAAAGAGGCAUUAAAUAAGAUGUCUCAUGGAAGUUAAAAGGCAUGUAUAGAGUGGUUUGAAGUUCCUACCCUUCCUGUUUGGUUCUUCAUGUGUGUUAUGGGCCGUUUCUCAAUGUCAAGGAAGGAUCCUCGGAAGCCAGAAUUUCGAGGAUGCUACGUCAUCGAAGUCCGUCAAAAGACUGUUCCAAUGUCGAGGAUCCUCGGAAUUUCAGCCAAGGACUGAGUCCUUCAUUCGAGAAAUAUCCCAUAUACAGGAAAGGAUGCAUAUGUGUAUCCUUCGCGCGCUGAAAUCACCCACAAUCCUAUGCGCACAGCACCGAAAGCACACCUUUCAUUGACGCAAUGAUGUGCACUUGUUAGCCUGUUCCAUUUAACGUGUUCUCUGAAUGCUUAAGAGGAGCCUCGCCUAGCCUCUGAAGGAAGUGACUUGUAAGGACUAGUCCUGCCAAGGAAGUAUUUUUGACCUUGAGAAAUGGCCAUGGAUUCACCAGGCUCCUCACUCACUCUCCCUCAAAGAUCUGCACCACAUGACUUUUAAUCACCGUCACCUGUUCCUAGUCACCUGAUCAUGCUAUAUAAGGACUUUCUUAUUCAUUCGUUCAUUCAUUCAUUCAUUUCCCGUCCAGUCCUGUUAAACGUACCUCUUCUCUGAGUUAUUAUACUGCCUUAACGCUCUUCCUUGUUAUUUGGAUUACUAUCAUUGUCAUUUUGCAUUGUCUUCAUCAUCAUCAUCGCCGUUGUCGUCGUCUAUCUACUGUUGUCUUCAUUAAUGAAAGUGUUCAUCAUUUAUCUGUUACUCUCAAGUAGUGUUACUAUUCAUCAUAUGGACUUGCGUUGUAAAUAUAAACCCUGUUGGUUUUACUUCCAUGUCCUCACCCUCUAGCUACCAUUACAAUGUGUUUCCCGUUCAUAAUAUGAACUUUUUUGGGUUUGUUUUUUCCUUUUCCUUUGGCCUCUUUUCUGUUCCAAACAUCAAAUUUUGUGAAAUAAAUUCACAAGGUUUAUUUUUGCUUUGAGUUGUUUAUAGGAACUUUGAUAUGUGUUCAGAACUGAUGAAAAUUAAAGAAAAGAUGCACAGUGGUACUGUUUUUGCAUUGUUAUGUGUAUUUGUUUUAAUAUGAUAAAUAAAUAGAAAUGUAUUAAGGACUUGAACACAUUCACUCUGU